GUUUGUGCAUCCAGUCCAGUACAUGUGCCAUGCCGUGUGCCACAACAAGUCACAAACUUCAUGAACAACAUGACAUCACACGUGUCUGCAAACAUCCGUGUCACCACGAGGGUCGGCUAAGAUACCAACUUGUAACGCCCCGUACACACCUGCCGGGAUCGUUACUCCUGGCCGGACAUAUGAAUACUAGUCUUCUCUGCGCACUUUGUCCUCACUCAUGCGCACCCGGGAUCAACUUCCUGGUCGGUCACCUAUCUUACAACUACUCCAAGCCGAGCACGCUUAACCUGGGAGUUCUGCUCGAAUGGGCUCACGGAAAACAAGGAAUUCCUUGUUGAUAUGAGUAGUCUAUCAUCCCUAAGAAGCGACACUAUCA
rnacentral:lncRNA from 1 species